AUUGAACGCUGGCGGAAUGCUUUACACAUGCAAGUCGAGCGGCAGCGCGGGGGCAACCCUGGCGGCGAGCGGCGAACGGGUGAGUAAUAUAUCGGAACGUACCCCGUCGUGGGGGAUAACACAGCGAAAGCUGUGCUAAUACCGCAUACGACCUGAGGGUGAAAGCGGGGGAUCGCAAGACCUCGCGCGAUGGGAGCGGCCGAUAUCGGAUUAGCUUGUUGGUGAGGUAAAGGCUCACCAAGGCGACGAUCCGUAGCUGGUCUGAGAGGACGACCAGCCACACUGGAACUGAGACACGGUCCAGACUCCUACGGGAGGCAGCAGUGGGGAAUUUUGGACAAUGGGGGGCAACCCUGAUCCAGCCAUUCCGCGUGAGUGAAGAAGGCCUCGGUU
rnacentral:rRNA from 1 species